AAAAAAAAUUGAGAAGGUAACUACGGACUUCAUUGGUCUAUUGUUAAUACAUAAUGAGACGAUACAGUGAAAGAACUCUCCAAAUGACAAAGCACUAUCUCCAUCUAAGAAUAUCGCUUCUGUUGCAUCAUAGUGAAGUAGUUCCACAGGUGUUUCUGCUCGGACUGACUGGUUCAAAUCUCGGCUGUACUGCCAGGAUUUAAGACACUUUGAAAAUGGGCAAAGCCUCAUUUUUCCUAGGUCAAAAGGAGUUCAAGAUUGGGGAAAUCUGAGGAUUCAGAAGGAUGAUAAAUGUUAGAACAUGGAAUCAGGGUGCUUAGAUUCUUGGUGCCUCAAUUUCUCUGUCAGUUAAAUGCCGUAUGAUCAAAUGACUCUUUUCUCAUUGGCUUGAUGUGAGAAAGAAAUGACUACAUAUAAUAAUCAGCAACAUUCCUGGCACAUAGUAAACAUCGAUGUAUUAUUAUUAAUACCUCCACCUACGCUAUAUACUGACUCUCUAUCCUCCCUCUCUUCCUCCUUCCCUGGAUCUUAAAAGAUGAGUGUGAUUAGAAACAAAAUUUUGUUGUGAUAAAGUCCACCUGAAUGUUCCCUCAGAUACUAACUAAAUCUCUUUCACAUGCAACCUUUGGACAAAAGUCUCUUCCUUUUUGCUAGGAAUUUUCCUAUUUUUCUCAUUUCUUCUCCUCCUGCUUUAGGAAAGAAAAAAAAAGCAUAUGCAAGAAUUAUUUUUUCUUCUCCCCAGAUGUCACCAGCACUAACACCUGUCCUAGUUCCAGCUCUGGUGAACUCCAGCAGACCUGCUCAAGUGGACAGCAUUAGGGACCUUGUCAGUUUUGCAGUGCUUUUUGCCUGAAGCCACCUCAGGUCCCUCAUGCUGCAGGUAUGCUGAGGGGCCUGGAGGUGACAGGCUGUUUUGCACCCAGGCACACUGAGGCCCGGGUGCUGCAGGGCUGUAAGGGUGGCCGUACUUUACUCUCUCCCAACUCCCCCACCCGUGUCAUUUUUAUUUGUACUUUAUAAAUCCUUUUCACUUUUGCAAGUUCCUUUUGGCCGCAAUCUGAAUGCAGUCCUGUAUGGGAUAAAGGAAUAUCAUAAGUAUAUAUUUUUUAAAACAGCAACACGAUUCAUGACUCUGUUGCAGAAUGUGAAGGAGCAAGUCUCUCAAUUGGCUAAUUGAAUCAAGCUCUGCAAUUUCCUUCUUCCCUGGAGCCUGAUCCUGCAGGACAAGGAUCUAUUUUCAAGUCAAUUACAAUUCCUAAGGGAUAUAAUUACCUACAAAAUCAGCAAAGGAACCCUAUUUCUCUUAUGGUGCAGAGCAAAACCAGUGUGGCUGGAAAGGAGAAAGAAGGAAAGGGGGCUUCAAGCAAGAUCAUGUGCAUUGUCAGACUUCAGAUCAUCCAAGGCCUUGUCCUGCCUUUCCGAAGAUUUUACAGAGACCCCUUUCUUCAAGUGAAAGGUUAUCAACUGUUGGUAGUAUGCUGCAUUAACAGACAACUCCUAUCUCAGUCACUUGCCACAACCAAGUUGCCACAACCAUCUUACUUAGGCCAUAUGUCAGCUGUAGCUUUUCUCCAUGUUGCCUUCCUUCCUAAAUCUAAGGCUAAAGAACCAACUUUCAUAUAGAACAUUGCCAGCCACUGCAACAGAAGGUAAAGAGACCUGGUGAGCUAUGGGCUGGCUCUUAAAAUGCCUAUAAGGAAGUGACACACAACACUUCCACCCACAUCCCAUUGGUCAAAGAAAGUGAAAUCAUUGAAAACUCCCUGCAGGCUAAAGUGUGCUCUGUUUUGCCUCCUGUCAGGUCCCCUGUACCUAUCAUGGUCCCUGGAAUAUGCCAGAUGCUUAAUAAUUAUUGAUUACAGGACCAGCUACAUCAUUCACAGGCCCAGUGCUAAAUGAAAAUGGGAUGACUUUAUUCAAAAAGUAGGGGGGAAAGUACAAUUAAAGUUACUCAAAUUAAAACUUCAUUCUUUCUUCUGUAGUCUCUCUCUCUUCUGGAUCUGUCGAGGUGGUUUUUAUAUUUGCUGUUUUUAUUUAUUAUUUAAUGUUGUACUUGUCCAGGUUUUAGAGACACUUGCUGAUGAGUACAGAUGUGAACAAGUGCCUGGGAGCCUGUAAAUUAUCCUUCCCACAGCCUUGAAAUCCAACGCUUUGCAAUGUGUUUGGUACCAAACACAUCAGAAUCAGGGGUGGCCAAGUCGUCUGCCAAACUCACUGUGGUGCUGCCAGCUGGGGACAGGGCAGCUGUCUAUUAAAAUUCUAUAAUUUUAAUAGAAUUAUAAUGUUCUGUUAGUUUUAUAGUACAUGUGUUGCCAACCAGUUUGUCAGUAAGAUAGAAAUUUACAUACAUGUACAGACAUUCACACACUGAGACUGAUUUAGCUCUCUGGUGAUGAAACCACCAAUACCAAGGCAAAUUGUGCCCUUCUAAUGGUGACACACCUCGGCUCAAGGGAUGGGAUGCACCAUAUGCUUCUCCCUCUCCUGGCUAUCAAGGAUGGCCUCUUUGAUGAUUGAGUUUUAUGGAAAAUAUUUGAAUAUCCUUGAAGUCAUUAUAUGCAGAAAUUGGAAGGCCCUAAAUCUAAAGGAGGGUAAUAUGUUAGACAGACAUUUAUUAAUAGAAUCAUAGAUCCUUCAGGUAUAAGGGAUCUUUAAAGUCGCCAAGCUUGAAUGUCUUUCUGCUGAGGAAUGGAAACCCACAGAAAUGACAAAGCUUAGGUUGCACUGCAGUGCAUUCCUACAGUCUUGACCAGAAUCCAGCUCUCCUGACCGUCCAUCAAAUCUUAAAUUGUUUUGAUUUCUUGUUAUGUUUUUCUUCUUCUUUGAGUGUUUAAAUUACUUUGUUUCCAGUCUUUAUUACAAGUGAUAGAAGAGGAUAAAUCUCUUAUACUGUUUGAGAAAGUUAAGUUACAUGAAAACAUGAAACCUAGUUCUUUCCUUAUGAUUACUUAAAAGAUUUUAAAGUAAUCUGGUCUAAGUAGGCUUAUUUACCUGAAAAAUAAUUGAAUUUAAACCCUCUGAAUCAUGUCCUCUUCAAUAAAAAAGCACUGUGUAAUAUACCUACUAAUAAAAGAAAUAGAUCCCAAUAGUUAAAUUCAUAACUAGAAACAGAAUUCAUAACACUAAUAAACAUCCAUUUUUUUUAAAAUUACCUUAA